CAAAGGAGCACAGAAAGAAAAGGGGAACCUAAAUAAUGUCCUGGAGCUGCUCCCAGGCCCAUCCCAGGAGCCAUCAACUGCACCAGCCCAAAGGAGCCUGGGGCACAAGGGCAGGGGGAACCUGACACAAGAACUCAAAGAAGAGACACCCUGCCUGCAUCCCUCCCAGGGCUGGCCCUGCACAGCCUCAGCCUCAGGCAUGAAACUCACCCAGACUUUAUCAGGCUUGUUGCUGAGUGGUCUGGAAAUGAAACCUCCCUCGCAGUGUUUGAAGAAGGAGCUGGAGGAUCUGGCUUGGAAAAGGUCAUGAGUCUGCUCUUAUCCUUGGGUGUGGAGAGCUGCCAUCCCUGCCACCUCCCACCAUGUUGAUGACAUCUCUUUCUCCACCACAUCCUCCUCCCCUGCAUUCCAACAGUUCACUCCUGCAAAGGCUGGAGAAAACACUGCUAAUACCCAGGAUUAAUUGUGCUGUCCUCCAAGGACUACACUGUGUACUCAUGACUUCAGGCCCAGUAGGAAUUUUUGCUUUGAAUGGGACUGCAAAUGCCAUGGAAGAUUAUCUGGCUACAAAAUCUCCUUCAUGAGGUUCAACAAGGGCAACCCCAGGUGUCAAUACAGGAUGAAAAGACUGAGACCAGAUCUGAGGAGAAGGACCUCUCCUAUGAAGAACAGGCUGAGACAUCUGGGCUUGUUCAGCCUGGAAAAGAGAAGCCUCUGGGGAAACCUCUGAGCAGUUUCCCAGUGCUUAAAGGGGGCUUAAGAAAGGUAGGGA